GAUGAACGAUGGCGGCGUGCGUAAUACAUGCAAGUCGAGCGGGCCAAAUCGGAGCUUUCUCUGGUUUGGUCAGCGGCGGACGGGUGAGUAACACGUGGGCAACCUGCCCGCAAGACCGGGAUAACUCCGGGAAACCGGAGCUAAUACCGGAUAACACCCGAAAGACCGCAUGGUCUUUGGUUGAAAGGCGGCCUUUGGCUGUCACUUGCGGAUGGGCCCGCGGCGCAUCAGCUAGUUGGUGAGGUAACGGCUCACCAAGGCGACGAUGCGUAGCCGGCCUGAGAGGGUGACCGGCCACACUGGGACUGAGACACGGCCCAGACUCCUACGGGAGGCAGCAGUAGGGAAUCUUCCGCAAUGGGCGAAAGCCUGACGGAGCGACGCCGCGUGAGCGAAGAAGGCCUUCGGGUUGUAAAGCUCUGUUGUGAGGGACGAAGGAGCGCCGUUCGAAGAGGGCGGCGCGGUGACGGUACCUCACGAGGAAGCCCCGGCUAACUACGUGCCAGCAGCCGCGGUAAUACGUAGGGGGCGAGCGUUGUCCGGAAUUAUUGGGCGUAAAGCGCGCGCAGGCGGUCCCUUAAGUCUGAUGUGAAAGCCCACGGCUCAACCGUGGAGGGUCAUUGGAAACUGGGGGACUUGAGUGCAGGAGAGGAGAGCGGAAUUCCACGU
rnacentral:rRNA from 1 species